rnacentral:rRNA from 1 species
UGCUACGGCCAUGCCACCCUGAACGUGCCUGAUCUCUUCUGAACUUGGAAGCUAAGCAGGGUCGAGCCUGGUUAGUAUUUACAUGGGAGACCACAUAGGAAAACCAGGUGCUGUAGGCG